rnacentral:rRNA from 1 species
GUGAACGCUGGCGGUCGGCCUAACACAUGCAAGUCGAACGGCAGCACCGUAAGAGCUUGCUCUUACGGGUGGCGAGUGGCGGACGGGUGAGGAAUACAUCGGAAUCUACUUUUUCGUGGGGGAUAACGUAGGGAAACUUACGCUAAUACCGCAUACGACCUACGGGUGAAAGCAGGGGAUCUUCGGACCUUGCGCGAUUGAAUGAGCCGAUGUCGGAUUAGCUAGUUGGCGGGGUAAAGGCCCACCAAGGCGACGAUCCGUAGCUGGUCUGAGAGGAUGAUCAGCCACACUGGAACUGAGACACGGUCCAGACUCCUACGGGAGGCAGCAGUGGGGAAUAUUGGACAAUGGGCGCAAGCCUGAUCCAGCCAUACCGCGUGGGUGAAGAAGGCCUUCGGGUUGUAAAGCCCUUUUGUUGGGAAAGAAAAGCAGCAGGUUAAUACCCCGCUGUUCUGACGGUACCCAAAGAAUAAGCACCGGCUAACUUCGUG